rnacentral:rRNA from 1 species
AGUGAACGCUGGCGGUAGGCCUAACACAUGCAAGUCGAACGGCAGCACGGUAAGAGCUUGCUCUUACGGGUGGCGAGUGGCGGACGGGUGAGGAAUACAUCGGAAUCUACUUUUUCGUGGGGGAUAACGUAGGGAAACUUACGCUAAUACCGCAUACGACCUACGGGUGAAAGCAGGGGAUCUUCGGACCUUGCGCGAUUGAAUGAGCCGAUGUCGGAUUAGCUAGUUGGCGGGGUAAAGGCCCACCAAGGCGACGAUCCGUAGCUGGUCUGAGAGGAUGAUCAGCCACACUGGAACUGAGACACGGUCCAGACUCCUACGGGAGGCAGCAGUGGGGAAUAUUGGACAAUGGGCGCGAGCCUGAUCCAGCCAUACCGCGUGGGUGAAGAAGGCCUUCGGGUUGUAAAGCCCUUUUGUUGGGAAAGAAAAGCAGCAGGUUAAUACCCCGCUGUUCUGACGGUACCCAAAGAAUAAGCACCGGCUAACUUCGUG